rnacentral:tRNA from 1 species
GGGGAUAUAGCUCAGUUGGUCAGAGCGCACCCCUGAUAAGGGUGAGGUCGGUAGUUCGAAUCUACCUAUCCCCACUA